UACAGAGGUCUCGAGCGUUGUUCGGAUUCAUUGGGCGUAAAGGGUGCGUAGGUGGCGCUGUAAGUCGGGUGUGAAAUCCUGAGGCUUAACCUCGGAACUGCAUUCGAUACUGCGGUGCUUGAGGACUGGAGAGGAGACUGGAAUUCAUGGUGUAGCAGUGAAAUGCGUAGAGAUCAUGAGGAACACCGGUGGUGUAAACGGCUUUCUGGACCAUAACUGACGCUGAGGCACGAAAGCGUGGGUAGCAAACAGG
rnacentral:rRNA from 1 species